rnacentral:lncRNA from 1 species
GUGUUGACCGAAUACUUGUUGCCCUACUUGCUGCAGUAAUUCUUGAUGUUGUGGCACUUGACUUGGUUUCAUCAUUUGUGAUUGCUUUAAUACUUGUUGUUGUUGCAUAUGAUUUUGUUUCAUCAUCUGUUGUUGCAGCUGAAAUCCUCGCGGUUGUUGUUGCAAAUGGCUUAGGUUAACUUGUGGUUGUUGAAAUCCUUGUGGUUGUUGUUGCCCCAACCCUUGUUUCCCCAAUUCUUGUUGUCCCAACCCUUGUUGUCCCAACCCUUGUUGCCCC